AUGUUCAGACGUAGGCUUACCCCUGAGUUGUCCAAACAGUGGGAAGAUAUGCGUGCUGUAGUUAAUAGAAUUCCCCUUGAUGAGAGGAGUGAUCGUAUCUUUUGGGGACUUAACCAGAAUGGCAAGUUCACCACUAAGUCAGUGUAUAAGAUGUUGGAGAAACCUCUAAGUGGGUGUCAUUAUAGAUGGAUUUGGAAAGCCAAGAUCCCUCUUAAAAUUAAAAUCUUUCUUUGGCAGAUGUCGCAAGACGCAAUCCUUACUAGGCAAGUGAUGAGGAAAAGGAAAUGGACAGGGAAUCCCUAUUGCUCUUUUUGCAAACAGGUGGAAACGGUGCAACACCUAUUCUUUACUUGUCCUGUGGCCAGAAUUGUCUAG
rnacentral:rRNA from 1 species